UCAGGGACAGCUUGUCAUCAGUCUUGGUUUUGCAGUGUCCAAUGAAGACUCUGCUCUGGUUUUGGAGGCUGCUCAGAGGUCCAGCUCAGAACCAGGCUGUUCUUCUACGAAUGGCAAGGUGUCUUGGUGCCUAUGGAGUUUAUCAGCAUCCAGAAUCCCAGCUCUUGUGUGGGUUUUACAGUAAAUAGCUCCAGCUAUGUGGCAGUUUCCCAUGCACACAGCACCACUGCAACUGCAACAAUCAGUUUAUUUCAUCUUCAGGCAGACCUCAACCUCACUCAAGAGCAGAAUCUUACUGUGGACAGUUUCAGCAAUAUUUGAUAGCUUCCAGUAAGAUUUUUGUGUGGGCUGGAGGCUCAUUCUCGCUUCAAAGUCUGGAGUUACAAGACGUUGCCACAGCCGUACCCUUCAGACAAAGCAGCAGCAAUUUACAACACCUGGCCGUGUGCAGGAUCAUAUCAUCAUCGGUGUAUCUCAUAUACCAGGGGGAGUA